UACAGAGGUCUCAAGCGUUGUUCGGAUUCAUUGGGCGUAAAGGGUGCGUAGGCGGCGCGGUAAGUCGGAUGUGAAAUCUCGGAGCUUAACUUCGAAACUGCAUUCGAUACUGCCGUGCUUGAGGACUGGAGAGGAGACUGGAAUUUACGGUGUAGCGGUGAAAUGCGCAGAUAUCAGGAGGAACACCGGUGGCGAAGGCGGAUCUCUGGGCCAUUACUGACGCUGAGGAGCGAAAGCGUGGGGAGCGAACAGG
rnacentral:rRNA from 1 species